UGGGGAAUAUUGCACAAUGGGCGCAAGCCUGAUGCAGCCAUGCCGCGUGUGUGAAGAAGGCCUUCGGGUUGUAAAGCACUUUCAGCGGGGAGGAAGGCGAUAAGGUUAAUAACCUUGUCGAUUGACGUUACCCGCAGAAGAAGCACCGGCUAACUCCGUGCCAGCAGCCGCGGUAAUACGGAGGGUGCAAGCGUUAAUCGGAAUUACUGGGCGUAAAGCGCACGCAGGCGGUCUGUCAAGUCGGAUGUGAAAUCCCCGGGCUCAACCUGGGAACUGCAUUCGAAACUGGCAGGGUAGAGUCUUGUAGAGGGGGGGAGAAUUCCAGGUGUAGCGGUGAAAUGCGUAAAGAUCUGGAGGAAUACCGGUGGCAAAGGCGGCCCCCUGGACGAAGACUGACGCUCAGGUGCGAAAGCGUGGGGAGCAAACAGG
rnacentral:rRNA from 1 species